rnacentral:rRNA from 1 species
UACGGGGGGGGCAAGCGUUGUUCGGAAUUACUGGGCGUAAAGGGCUCGUAGGUGGCCAACUAAGUCAGACGUGAAAUCCCUCGGCUUAACCGGGGAACUGCGUCUGAUACUGGAUGGCUUGAGUUUGGGAGAGGGACGCGGAAUUCCAGGUGUAGCGGUGAAAUGCGUAGAUAUCUGGAGGAACACCGGUGGCGAAGGCGGCGUCCUGGACCAAUACUGACACUGAGGCACGAAGGCCAGGGGAGCAAACGGG